CCUACGGGUCGCACCAGUGGGGAAUAUUGGACAAUGGGCGAAAGCCUGAUCCAGCCAUGCCGCGUGUGUGAAGAAGGUCUUCGGAUUGUAAAGCACUUUAAGUUGGGAGGAAGGGCAGUAAGCUAAUACCUUGCUGUUUUGACGUUACCGACAGAAUAAGCACCGGCUAACUUCGUGCCAGCAGCCGCGGUAAUACGAAGGGUGCAAGCGUUAAUCGGAAUUACUGGGCGUAAAGCGCGCGUAGGUGGUUUGUUAAGUUGAAUGUGAAAGCCCCGGGCUCAACCGGGGAACUGCAUCCAAAACUGGCAAGCUAGAGUAUGGCAGAGGGUGGUGGGAUUUCCUGUGUAGCGGUGAAAUGCGUAGAUAUAGGAAGGAACACCAGUGGCGAAGGCGACCACCUGGGCCAAUACUGACACUGAGGUGCGAAAGCGUGGGGAGCAAACAGGAUUAGAUACCCGCGUAGUC
rnacentral:rRNA from 1 species